rnacentral:snRNA from 1 species
UGUUUUGCGCAGUGGCAGUAUCAUAGCCAAUGAGGUCAAACCGAAGCAUGAUUAUUGCUAAUUGUGAUGAAGCUGAAGCUUGAUGAACGCGGAGGGGCUGUGUUCCCAUUAGGGAAGAGCUGCUGACUUAUUUUUUGUCGGGGGCUUUGCACAUGCUC